CGCAGUAUAUUAACUGUGCAAAGGUAGCAUAAUCAUUAGUCUUUUAAUUGAAGGCUGGAAUGAAUGGUUGAAUGAAAUAUUAACUGUUUCAAAUAAAUUAAUAAUAGAAUUUUAUUUUUUAGUUAAAAAGCUAAAAUUUUUUUAAAAGACGAGAAGACCCUAUAAAUCUUUAUAUUUUAAUUUAUGUUUGUUAUAUGGAUGAUUUAGAUUUUUAUAAAUUAAAAUAUUUUAUUGGGGUGAUAUUAAAAUUUAAUAAACUUUUAAUAAAUAAUAACAAAAAUUAUUGAAUAAUUGAUCCAUAAAUAAUGAUUAAGAAAUUAAGUUACUUUAGGGAUAACAGCGUAAUUUUUUU
rnacentral:rRNA from 1 species